rnacentral:rRNA from 1 species
AUUGAACGCUGGCGGCAGGCCUAACACAUGCAAGUCGAACGGUAACAGGAAGAAGCUUGCUUCUUUGCUGACAAGUGGCGGACGGGUGAGUAAUGUCUGGGAAACUGCCUGAUGGAGGGGGAUAACUACUGGAAACGGUAGCUAAUACCGCAUAACGUCGCAAGACCAAAGAGGGGGACCUUCGGGCCUCUUGCCAUCGGAUGUGCCCAGAUGGGAUUAGCUAGUAGGUGGGGUAACGGCUCACCUAGGCGACGAUCCCUAGCUGGUCUGAGAGGAUGACCAGCCACACUGGAACUGAGACACGGUCCAGACUCCUACGGGAGGCAGCAGUGGGGAAUAUUGCACAAUGGGCGCAAGCCUGAUGCAGCCAUGCCGCGUGUAUGAAGAAGGCCUUCGGGUUGUAAAGUACCUUCAGCGGGGAGGAAGGGAGUAAAGUUAAUACCUUUGCUCAUUGACGUUACCCGCAGAAGAAGCACCGGCUAACUCCGUG